GUUAAAAACCUUGACCUCCAAAUAAAUGUAAUGUCAGGACCCACCAAUCGGACCCCCACAGGUUCUAAGGAGCUCGAGCUAGCCCAGACAGGGCUAGGAAAACGAAUGGUGUCAGUGCCAGAGGACAGCAGCCAUAAAGAGAUAGUGUCACUGAUAGAAGAGGAGUUUUUGAAACUCCGCCCCCUUGAAGGAAGGUGGAUGUUUUUCAAGGCAACAGGAGGCAGUGGCCAAAGGAAGCUCUCUAUCGUCCCCAUGGACACAGAAGGCUACUCUGUCCGGCAG